rnacentral:rRNA from 1 species
GACGAACGCUGGCGGCGUGCUUAACACAUACAAGUCGAACGCUGAAGCUCAGCUUGCUGGGUGGAUGAGUGGCGAACGGGUGAGUAACACGUGAGUAACUUGCCCUCUGCGUGGGGUUAACUCCCGGAAACGGGUGUUAUAACUGGAACUUCAUUGGUUCUCGCAUGGGGGUUGUUGGAAAGGUUUUCUCUGGUGUGGGAUGGGCUCGCGGCCUAUCAGCUUGUUGGUGGGGUCAUGGCAUACCGAGGCUUUGACGGGUAGCUGGCCUGAUAGUGUGACAGGUGAAAUUGGGAAUGAGACACGGUCCAAACUGCUACAGGAGUCAGGAGUAGUGAAUAUUGCGCAAUAGGCGAAAGCAUGCAUCAGCGGCGCCGCGUGAAGGAUGGAGGCUUGCGGGUUGCUAUACUCUGUGAGUAAUGGUCAAGACGCAACUUUGGGUUGUGGUGAGGGUAGUAGGUAAAGAAGCGCCGGCUAACUACGUG